rnacentral:piRNA from 1 species
UCAUUUUCUGUUUGACCUCCA